GGUCCUCACUAAGGCAGCUCUGUUGAGAGUUGCCAUGGUGGGGGGGGUUGACCCUGCGGGGGUCCCCAGGCCGUCAACUUCCGGUGCCAGACGUUGGUACGUCAGGGUCGAGCACAAUGCGCUGCCGCCCGCUGCCGAUAUUCUGGGGACGA
rnacentral:ncRNA from 1 species